CAGCCGCCGCGGUAACACGUAGGGUGCGAGCGUUAAUCGGAAUUACUGGGCGUAAAGCGUGCGCAGGCGGUUCGUUAAGACAGAUGUGAAAUCCCCGGGCUUAACCUGGGAACUGCAUUUGUGACUGACGGGCUAGAGUAUGGCAGAGGGGGGUAGAAUUCCACGUGUAGCAGUGAAAUGCGUAGAGAUGUGGAGGAAUACCGAUGGCGAAGGCAGCCCCCUGGGCCAAUACUGACGCUCAUGCACGAAAGCGUGGGGAGCAAACAGGAUUAGAUACCCGGGUAGUCCCUGUCUCUUAUAC
rnacentral:rRNA from 1 species